UACAAUUAUGAGAGAUCAGAUCUAAGUCAACGGUAUAUACUUGGGACUACAAGUGAGUACAGAUGAGGUACCUAGCCCCAGAAAGGGAGUCAGGGGAAUGUUCUUUUUGGAGACAACACCUUAGUGUGUCAUAUGAAGAAAAGAAGUGAGCGGAGGGCUAUGUACUCAGAGACAAGAGGGCAUGAAACUGCAAGGGGACUGAUGUGGGUGAUUGUCAGAAAGUCACAUAGAUUAAAAGUCCUUCCUUCAUUGUUCAGUUGUUACUCAUUCGAAGGUCGUCCUCACAUACAGACAUCCACCUCCCCAUCUAACCACCGCUCCCACCUCAUCCACAGCUGAAUGGAAACCACAUGUCAACAGUGAUGUUUAGCUGGGAUUGGGCACCGCUUCUGGUUGGCAGGACACCAAAGGAGCAGGAGCUGAGUUAGAGUGGAGGCUUGUUUCCCUCUGCUUAUACGGCCCAGGUAUUCGCGCAGGGUAAGUCGCUACCGGGUCAGUGCCCCGGUCUUUUCCCCUCUUGUUGAUCCUCAAGAGGCCUCCAUCUUAGGUCAAAACGGCAAGAAAAGGCGCGC
rnacentral:lncRNA from 1 species